GAUGAACGCUGGCGGCGUGCCUAAUACAUGCAAGUCGAGCGAACAGAUGAGGAGCUUGCUCCUCUGACGUUAGCGGCGGACGGGUGAGUAACACGUGGAUAACCUACCUAUAAGACUGGGAUAACUUCGGGAAACCGGAGCUAAUACCGGAUAAUAUAUUGAACCGCAUGGUUCAAUAGUGAAAGACGGUUUUGCUGUCACUGAUAGAUGGAUCCGCGCCGCAUUAGCUAGUUGGUAAGGUAACGGCUUACCAAGGCAACGAUGCGUAGCCGACCUGAGAGGGUGAUCGGACACACUGGAACUGAGACACGGUCCAGACUACUACGGGAGGCAGCAGUAGGGAAUCUUCCGCAAUGGGCGAAAGCCUGACGGAGCAACGCCGCGUGAGUGAUGAAGGUCUUCGGAUCGUAAAACUCUGUUAUUAGGGAAGAACAAAUGUGUAAGUAACUAUGCACGUCUUGACGGUACCUAAUCAGAAAGCCACGGCUAACUACGUG
rnacentral:rRNA from 1 species